CUCAGGAGUACUUCUUCCUCUAUCAGCAAACAAGGGCUAAUGGAUUUUCUUCGGCCUGGCUGGGCGGAGUCUACUUUGAGAACCAGUGGAUGUGGCUUGAUGGUUCCUGGUUCUAUGACGGAUUUUCUUUUCAGAUGUUUGGUGAUGUCAACGACAGUCCCUGCCUGUCAACAUACAACUCUGAUGGUUGGAGUAAUAGCAACUGUAAUAAUGUCAUGAAUUUUUUUUGUGGAAAGGAGGCAGUUUAAAUCUGCUGUUCACACAGGACA